rnacentral:tRNA from 1 species
UGGAACGUAGCUCAACAGGAAGAAGCAGUCGCAUGCUAUUAGCAUGAGUCGACAAGGGCGCAGGUUCGAGUCCUGCCGUUCCAA